GAUGGCGACCGGCGCACGGGUGAGUAACGCGUAUGCAACCUGCCCGAUACCGGGGUAUAGCCCAUGGAAACGUGGAUUAACACCCCAUAGUACUUUUAUCCUGCAUGGGAUGUGAGUUAAAUGUUUAAGGUAUCGGAUGGGCAUGCGUCCUAUUAGUUAGUUGGCGGGGUAACAGCCCACCAAGACGAUGAUAGGUAGGGGUUCUGAGAGGAAGGUCCCCCACAUUGGAACUGAGACACGGUCCAA
rnacentral:rRNA from 1 species